GGCGUACCUUUUGUAUAAUGGGUCAGCGACUUACGUUGUGUGGCGAGCUUAACCAUCUAGGGGAGGCGAAGGGAAACCGAGUCUGAAUAGGGCGCACAGUCGCACGGCGUAGACCCGAAACCGGGUGAUCUAUCCAUGCCCAGGGUGAAGGUCCGGUAACACGGACUGGAGGCCCGAACCCACUCCUGUUGCAAAAGUAGGGGAUGAGGUGUGGAUAGGAGUGAAAAGCUAAUCGAACCCGGAGAUAGCUGGUUCUCCUCGAAAGCUAUUUAGGUAGCGCCUCGUGUAUCACUGUUGGGGGUAGAGCACUGUUAUGGCUAGCGGGUCAUUGCGACUUAGCAAACCAUUGCAAACUCCGAAUACCAACACGUGCGAGCACGGGAGACACACGGCGGGUGCUAACGUCCGUCGUGAAAAGGG
rnacentral:rRNA from 1 species